AUGGAUGUCUUUUCACUUGUUCUCUUCUGUAGUCUGGCAUCUGCUGUCUUUGGAAACAUCACACCAGACGAAACAGAGCAUUUUGCUGAGGAGGGUUCAAAUGUUAUAUUAUCCUGUAGUUAUUCCUCUGCAGAUUAUCUAUACUGGUAUCGUCAGUAUCUCGGAUCAGCUCCUGAAUUUCUCGUGCUCAUCUUUGAUGGUGCAUCAAACACCGAAAAGUCUGAUGUAGAUCCUAGACUUUCAGUUAAACUCACAAAACGGGAACAAAAGCAUGUGGAUCUGGAGAUCUCCUCUGCUGCUGUAUCAAACUCUGCUCUGUACUACUGUGCUCUGAGGCCCACAGUGACAGGAAACACAUCAGCUCUCUACAAAAACCCUUUACCCAGUGAGAGCGAGCAAGAAUAUAGAUCAUACAGUCUUACAGUAAAUUGA